rnacentral:rRNA from 1 species
AGAGUUUGAUCCUGGCUCAGAACGAACGCUGGCGGCGUGCUUAACACAUGCAAGUCGAACGAGAAAUUUUUCCUUCGGGAAAGAGAGUAAAGUGGCGCACGGGUGAGUAACGCGUAGAUAAUCUACCCUGGUGUCUGGGAUAACAUCGCGAAAGCGUUGCUAAUACCGGAUACGCUCCUUCGGGAGGAAAGGUGGCCUCUUCUUGAAAGCUAUCGCAUUGGGAUGAGUCUGCGUACCAUUAGCUAGUUGGUGGGGUAAGAGCCUACCAAGGCUACGAUGGUUAGCGGGUCUGAGAGGAUGAUCCGCCACACUGGAACUGGAACACGGACCAGACUCCUACGGGAGGCAGCAGUGAGGAAUUUUGCGCAAUGGGCGAAAGCCUGACGCAGCAACGCCGCGUGGAUGAUGAAGGCCUUCGGGUCGUAAAAUCCUGUCAAGUGGGAAGAAACCCCCUCCGUUAAUAGCGGCAGGGGGGUGACUGUACCACUGGAGAAGCCCCGCUAACU